AAGGAUCAUUACAGAGAAAAUGCCCCUCGGGGUAGAUCUCCCACCCUUUGCUUACAUAUCUCUGUUGCUUUGGCGGGUCCGUCUACUGACCACCGGCCACGGCUGGUCUGCGCCCGCCAGAGGACCCAAAACUCUUAUUUAAUGUCGUCUGAGCUAUUAUAAAAUAAUUUAAAACUUUCAACAACGGAUCUCUUGGUUCUG
rnacentral:misc_RNA from 1 species